UACGUAGGUGGCAAGCGUUGUCCGGAAUUACUGGGUGUAAAGGGCGAGUAGGCGGGUUGUUAAGUCAGAUGUGAAAUCUCCGGGCUCAACCCGGAACGUGCAUUUGAAACUGAUGAUCUUGAGUGAUGGAGAGGCAGGCGGAAUUCCGUGUGUAGCGGUGAAAUGCGUAGAUAUACGGAGGAACACCAGUGGCGAAGGCGGCCUGCUGGACAUUAACUGACGCUGAGGAGCGAAAGCGUGGGGAGCAAACAGGAUUAGAUA
rnacentral:rRNA from 1 species